rnacentral:rRNA from 1 species
UAAUACCCGAGGCUCAAGUGAUGGCCACUAUUAUUGGGUUUAAAGCGUCCGUAGCCGGUUCAGUAAGUUCUUGGUGAAAUCCUCCAGCAAACUGGAGGGCGUGCUGAGAAUACUACUGGACUUGAGACCGGGAGAGGCAAGAGGUACUUAUGGGGUAGGGGUUAAAUCCUGUAAUCCCAUAGGGACCACCAGUCAGCAGUGAGUCAACUUUAAGUAGUAGGAGUGGCUCCUGCUGGGUGAAUGGCGAAGGCUUCUUGCUGGAACGGGUCUGACGGUGAGGGACGAAAGCGUGGGUAGCGAUCGGGAUUAGAUACCCCGGUAGUCCACGCCGUAAACGAUGCCCGCUUGGUGCCACAGACUUCUUGGGAGUUUGUGGUGCCGGAGCGUAAGUGUUAAGCGGGCCACCUGGGAAGUACGUCCGCAAGGAUGAAACUUAAAGGAAUUGGCGGGGGAGCACACAAGGGGUGGGCACUGCGG